AUUGAACGCUGGCGGCAUGCUUUACACAUGCAAGUCGAACGGCAGCGCGGGCUUCGGCCUGGCGGCGAGUGGCGAACGGGUGAGUAAUACAUCGGAACGUGCCCAGUAGUGGGGGAUAGCUCGUCGAAAGCCGGAUUAAUACCGCAUACGACCUGAGGGUGAAAGCGGGGGAUCUUCGGACCUCGCGCUAUUGGAGCGGCCGAUGGCAGAUUAGCUAGUUGGUGGGGUAAAGGCCUACCAAGGCGACGAGCUGAAGCUGGUCUGAGAGGACGACCAGCCACACUGGGACUGAGACACGGCCCAGACUCCUACGGGAGGCAGCAGUGGGGAAUUUUGGACAAUGGGCGAAAGCCUGAUCCAGCAAUGCCGCGUGUGUGAUGAAGGCCUUCGGGUUGUAAAGCACUUUUGGCGGGAACGAAAAGGACUGUGCCAAUACCACGGUUCGAUGACGGUACCCGCAGAAUAAGCACCGGCUAACUACGUG
rnacentral:rRNA from 1 species